rnacentral:rRNA from 1 species
GACGAACGCUGGCGGCGUGCUUAACACAUGCAAGUCGAACGGAAAGGCCCUGCUUUUGUGGGGUGCUCGAGUGGCGAACGGGUGAGUAACACGUGAGUAACCUGCUCUUGACUUUGGGAUAACUUCAGGAAACUGGGGCUAAUACCGGAUAGGAGCUCCUGCUGCAUGGUGGGGGUUGGAAAGUUUCGGCGGUUGGGGAUGGACUCGCGGCUUAUCAGCUUGUUGGUGGGGUAGUGACUUACCAAGGCUUUGACGGGUAGCCGGCCUGAGAGGGUGACCGGCCACAUUGGGACUGAGAUACGGCCCAGACUCCUACGGGAGGCAGCAGUGGGGAAUAUUGCACAAUGGGCGGAAGCCUGAUCCAGCAACGCCGCGUGCGGGAUGACGGCCUUCGGGUUGUAAACCGCUUUCGCCUGUGACGAAGCGUGAGUGACGGUAAUGGGUAAAGAAGCACCGGCUAACUACGUG